rnacentral:tRNA from 1 species
CAGAAGGUAGUUUAAUUGAGAACGGCGGCUUUGGAAGUUGCGGGUGGAAGUGAGUAGUGCUUUCUUUUCUGA